ACCUGGCUGGCUCAGCUGGUAGAGCAUGCGACUCUUGAUCUCAGGGUCUUGAGUUCGAGCCUCAUGUUGGGUG
rnacentral:tRNA from 1 species